UCUAAAAGUGAAAAAUCGAGUUGGUUCAGAGCGAAACGUGUAGAAUUUUAUCUGCGAAACACGUAGGAUCGAUAAAGUAAUCGAUUUUCCCAACCAGUACUGAAUUGUCAGAAAGAGGGUAUUUUUCAAAUGUCAUAAAAAGGGUACUUAAUCCACAUAAAGAAGUUUCCAUUCGUUUACUAAUCAUGGGUACAUAAUACGCACGAUACUUUGACGAGCAGCAUCGCCAUUUUCAAGUUGACUUUGCGGUGGCGUUUUUUUGUGAACUAAAAUUUAGUUCUGAAUGUUUAAUAUUCUUUUUCGACUCUGAAACUAUUCGUAUAUGGGUAUGGAUUCGGAUCUACACCCUUCUAGCAAAAAUAUUUGAAAUAUCAUUUCAAGAUCGAACUGUGGCGCAACAACUUCCGAGGCCGAUGGCCGAUGUGCAAGGCUGCAAUUGGCGGGGGAGAGUAUCGGGAUUCGGGAAAGUGUCCUGGAAUUGGUUGGCUGCGGUGCAUUGAUUGAUCUUUAGUGUCUAGUUUAAAAAGUGCAUUUCACGCAAUAAAUAAAAUUAUGAUUGUAAUAAUGUAUAAACAUAAUAUUUCAAAUAAAAUAUAUGCAUUGUUUCAUUUGCGUGCGUUUGAUAA